AGAGUUUGAUCAUGGCUCAGGACGAACGCUGGCGGCGUGCCUAAUACAUGCAAGUAGAACGCUGAAGAGAGGAGCUUGCUCUUCUUGGAUGAGUUGCGAACGGGUGAGUAACGCGUAGGUAACCUGCCUUGUAGCGGGGGAUAACUAUUGGAAACGAUAGCUAAUGCCGCAUAACAAUGGAUGACACAUGUCAUUUAUUUGAAAGGGGCAAUUGCUCCACUACAAGAUGGACCUGCGUUGUAUUAGCUAGUAGGUGAGGUAAUGGCUCACCUAGGCGACGAUACAUAGCCGACCUGAGAGGGUGAUCGGCCACACUGGGACUGAGACACGGCCCAGACUCCUACGGGAGGCAGCAGUAGGGAAUCUUCGGCAAUGGGGGCAACCCUGACCGAGCAACGCCGCGUGAGUGAAGAAGGUUUUCGGAUCGUAAAGCUCUGUUGUAAGUCAAGAACGGGUGUGAGAGUGGAAAGUUCACACUGUGACGGUAGCUUACCAGAAAGGGACGGCUAACUACGUGCCAGCAGCCGCGGUAAUACGUAGGUCCCGAGCGUUGUCCGGAUUUAUUGGGCGUAAAGCGAGCGCAGGCGGUUUGAUAAGUCUGAAGUUAAAGGCUGUGGCUCAACCAUAGUUCGCUUUGGAAACUGUCAAACUUGAGUGCAGAAGGGGAGAGUGGAAUUCCAUGUGUAGCGGUGAAAUGCGUAGAUAUAUGGAGGAACACCGGUGGCGAAAGCGGCUCUCUGGUCUGUAACUGACGCUGAGGCUCGAAAGCGUGGGGAGCGAACAGGAUUAGAUACCCUGGUAGUCCACGCCGUAAACGAUGAGUGCUAGGUGUUGGAUCCUUUCCGGGAUUCAGUGCCGCAGCUAACGCAUUAAGCACUCCGCCUGGGGAGUACGACCGCAAGGUUGAAACUCAAAGGAAUUGACGGGGGCCCGCACAAGCGGUGGAGCAUGUGGUUUAAUUCGAAGCAACGCGAAGAACCUUACCAGGUCUUGACAUCCCGAUGCUAUUUCUAGAGAUAGAAAGUUACUUCGGUACAUCGGUGACAGGUGGUGCAUGGUUGUCGUCAGCUCGUGUCGUGAGAUGUUGGGUUAAGUCCCGCAACGAGCGCAACCCUUAUUGUUAGUUGCCAUCAUUCAGUUGGGCACUCUAGCGAGACUGCCGGUAAUAAACCGGAGGAAGGUGGGGAUGACGUCAAAUCAUCAUGCCCCUUAUGACCUGGGCUACACACGUGCUACAAUGGUUGGUACAACGAGUUGCGAGUCGGUGACGGCGAGCUAAUCUCUUAAAGCCAAUCUCAGUUCGGAUUGUAGGCUGCAACUCGCCUACAUGAAGUCGGAAUCGCUAGUAAUCGCGGAUCAGCACGCCGCGGUGAAUACGUUCCCGGGCCUUGUACACACCGCCCGUCACACCACGAGAGUUUGUAACACCCGAAGUCGGUGAGGUAACCUUUUGGAGCCAGCCGCCUAAGGUGGGACAGAUGAUUGGGGUGAAGUCGUAACAAGGUA
rnacentral:rRNA from 1 species